rnacentral:lncRNA from 1 species
CUGUAAAUUGCACCGGGUGCAUUAGUAUUUAUUUAAUAGUUCCGUUUAUUGGUCCGUUAGAGAAAAGUUAUGAAUAUAAAUUACAUUUUAUAUUUAGAUGAUUUUACCAAUCAACUGAUUCGUUUACUGCAUUUAAACCGUUUAUAGCGGUACUCAAAUUUAGCGGUGCUUCCAAGUUUGGAUUUGGCGCACCACAUCUAUUUUCGGUGUCUCUGCACCGUAUACGGCAAAAAUUAUAUACAUUGCUAAGGCAAUGCACCUGGAUAAGAGAUGACCAUUUAUUACUAAAUUGUAAACCUUGGUGCAACAGCACCUCGUUUUUAAUACUGUCACUUGAACCUCGGGUGCACAGGAACUUUGGGUGUAACUGAACCUUGGUGCAACCGCACCUCAUUUAUAUACCUUAAUUAAUUGAACCUUGGUGCAACCGCACCUCAUUUAUAUACUGUAACCUAAACCUUAGGUGCAAUUGAACCUCAGGUGUUUAUGCACCUCACCGGAAAUAUAGCAAGUUAACUAUGAGAUUGAUAAAUCUCAUACCUUUUUAAGUUUUAUGUAUCCUC